AAGUGCAAUGCUUUUCUAUUUCAGGCACCAGUAGAAGAGAAGAUAAAAGAACAUAAUUUGACAGCACAGUGGAAUGGCACCAGAGAGGUGAUUGAAAAUGAUUAUGGGUUCCCACCAUUACCUGCUGAUGAAGAAAACACCCAGGUAA